AAGGGUAGAGCUCAGUGGUAGAGUGUAUGCUUAGCAUGCAUGAGGUCCUGGGUUCAAUUCUUAGUACCUCCA
rnacentral:tRNA from 1 species